ensembl:lncRNA
UGAACUCACGGUCAACAAAGAGACCUGGCAGCAGAAGUUGGAGGAAAACAGAUUCAAGGAACUGGAUUACCAACAACAGUCCUUGGAGUAAGUAACAGGGUUACUCUCCACCAACAUUUCUCUUCAAGAAGAGCUGCACAAGGAGCAGGCCAACAACCACCAGUUGGUAGAAGAACACAAACUGCUAAAGAUCAAGACAGAGGCUCUGGAUGAGACUAUCAGGGAGAACGAGGGUUUAUCUCUGAAGCUCACCGAGACCAAAAAAAAACUUUCUGUCAUAAGUGCUGAUCUCAGGGUCAACAACGAGACCUGGCAGCAGUUGGAAGCAGAAAACAAACUGCUGAAGACCCAGAGGGAUUCUCUGGCUGCUUUAAAAAAGAGCCACCACCAUGAGGAGACCCACCACGAGAUGGUCACAAGCAGUGGUUUUGUGGUUUCACUGAGUUGUGUCUGAUCUCUAAGAUCCAACAAACGGAGGAUACCAUUCCCAAAGAACAUCAGAUCCUUAUCACCAGGAUCCAAGAAUUAGAGGAGGACAAAACAGUCCUUGAAAACAUCUGCCUCGACUUAAAGAAACGGACCGGCAGACGGAGAUGGACAAAAUGAGGUGCAAGAUGCAGGACAAGGAGACAAAGAAAUAGGAGAGAGAAAAGAAGAAAAAGGAGACCAUCCAGGACGUCAAGAUCAACGUGCCUGAGACUGGACACAAUAGAAGACCUCAGGUCAAGCUGCCCUCCUCCUUGGUCCAGCGAGAGGGCUUUGAAAGCCAGACACAGAAGAGGCAAUCAUCCAUCUAUACCUGAAAUUAGCUGCUGUCUUCAUUUAAUGCACCGCUGAGGUUUCAUUGAUCAGUGCAGACUGGCAUGAGCCCAAG